GAUGAAGAACGUAGCAAAAUGCGAUAAGUAAUGUGAAUUGCAGAAUUCAGUGAAUCAUCGAAUCUUUGAACGCACAUUGCGCCCGCCAGUAUUCUGGUGGGCAUGCCUGUUCGAGCGUCAUUUCAACCCUCAAGCACAGCUUGGUGUUGGGACUCGCGUUAAUUCGCGUUCCCCAAAUUGAUUGGCGGUCACGUCGAGCUUCCAUAGCGUAGUAGUAAAACCCUCGUUACUGGUAAUCGUCGCGGCCACGCCGUUAAACCCCAACUUCUGAAUGUUGACCUCGGAUCAGGUAGGAAUACCCGCUGAACUUAAGCAUAUCCAAUAAGCGGAGGA
rnacentral:misc_RNA from 1 species